rnacentral:lncRNA from 1 species
AGUCACAAGAGGAAUUAUGAGAGUGGCCUGGGUCUGGCUCCUGCAUAUGUCCUGAAAUGACUAAGAAGCAGAACCAGGUGGGCUGCGACCUGCUCCCAUUGCCACAAUUCCCAGCUGAAACUUGUGGAGAGAGCCAGACAGCUGUCUUGAAGAAAAACCUUUCUCUGAUCCACGAGCCCCUGGUUUGGAAAUGGAACAUGUGGAAGAUGCAAUGUCAAGUACUUGUGGAUGCAAUGAAUGAAGAAGGAACUCUCCUGGCUCUGGAAAACCAACCAGAAAGAGCAACACUGUUUUGGCCACAGCAGGAAGGACAAGUUACCCAGAAGAACCCCGGAAUGGCACCCCUAUGGGAGGGCCAGGAAAGGCCUAUGUCACAGCAGAUAUGGAUGGUUAUAGUGUAAACAUGCACACAACAUCCUCCUACCUUUCCCCCAGGGCAGUGGUGACCCACCUAUGGGACAUGUGCCAUUGUGUUUUUCUUCUAAUAGAAAAGAUGUUAAUGAAGAGCAGUUUUUUUCUAA